GGGGAAUAUUGCACAAUGGGCGAAAGCCUGAUGCAGCAACGCCGCGUGAGUGAUGAAGGCCUUCGGGUUGUAAACCGCUUUUGUCAGAGACGAAAAGGGACGCACGAAUAAUACGUUCCGCUGACGGUAUCUGAAGAAUAAGCACCGGCUAACUACGUGCCAGCAGCCGCGGUAAUACGUAGGGUGCAAGCGUUAAUCGGAAUUACUGGGCGUAAAGGGUGCGCAGGCGGCUGUGCAAGACAGAUGUGAAAUCCCCGGGCUUAACCUGGGAACUGCAUUUGUGACUGCAAGGCUAGAGUUUGUCAGAGGAGGGUGGAAUUCCGCGUGUAGCAGUGAAAUGCGUAGAUAUGCGGAAGAACACCAAUGGCGAAGGCAGCCCUCUGGGACAUGACUGACGCUCAUGCACGAAAGCGUGGGGAGCAAAC
rnacentral:rRNA from 1 species